GAUGAACGCUGGCGGCGCGCCUAACACAUGCAAGUCGAACGAUUAUAGCACCUUCGGGUGUGUAUAAAGUGGCGAACGGCUGAGUAACACGUGGGCAACCUGCCCCUCUCAUUGGGAUAGCCACGGGAAACCGUGGAUAAUACCGAAUACUUCGGGACUUCCGCAUGGAAGACUCGAGAAAGCUCCGGCGGAGAGGGAUGGGCCCGCGGCCUGUUAGCUUGUUGGUGGGGUAAUGGCCUACCAAGGCAAUGAUGGGUAGCUGGGUUGAGAGACCGACCAGCCAGAUUGGGACUGAGACACGGCCCAGACUCCUACGGGAGGCAGCAGUGGGGAAUCUUGCACAAUGGGCGAAAGCCUGAUGCAGCGACGCCGCGUGCGGGAUGAAGGCCUUCGGGUUGUAAACCGCUUUCAGCAGGGACGAGGCGAAAGUGACGGUACCUGCAGAAGAAGCCCCGGCUAACUACGUG
rnacentral:rRNA from 1 species